rnacentral:rRNA from 1 species
UGGCUCAGGAUGAACGCUGGCGGCGUGCCUAAUACAUGCAAGUCGAGCGAACAGAUAAGGAGCUUGCUCCUUUGACGUUAGCGGCGGACGGGUGAGUAACACGUGGAUAACCUACCUAUAAGACUGGGAUAACUUCGGGAAACCGGAGCUAAUACCGGAUAACAUAUUGAACCGCAUGGUUCAAUAGUGAAAGGCGGCUUUGCUGUCACUUAUAGAUGGAUCCGCGCCGUAUUAGCUAGUUGGUAAGGUAACGGCUUACCAAGGCAACGAUACGUAGCCGACCUGAGAGGGUGAUCGGCCACACUGGAACUGAGACACGGUCCAGACUCCUACGGGAGGCAGCAGUAGGGAAUCUUCCGCAAUGGGCGAAAGCCUGACGGACCAACGCCGCGUGAGUGAUGAAGGUCUUCGGAUCGUAAAACUCUGUUAUCAGGGAAGAACAAAUGUGUAAGUAACUGUGCACAUCUUGACGGUACCUGAUCAGAAAGCCACGGCUAACUACGUGCCAGCAGCCGCGGUAAUACGUAGGUGGCAAGCGUUAUCCGGAAUUAUUGGGCGUAAAGCGCGCGUAGGCGGUUUUUUAAGUCUGAUGUGAAAGCCCACGGCUCAACCGUGGAGGGUCAUUGGAAACUGGAAAACUUGAGUGCAGAAGAGGAAAGUGGAAUUCCAUGUGUAGCGGUGAAAUGCGCAGAGAUAUGGAGGAACACCAGUGGCGAAGGCGACUUUCUGGUCUGUAACUGACGC